AUGAGGUGCAAUGGCGACGAGCGGCUGCUGCUGGGGGUCUAUGUCGACGACCUCGUCGUCACUGGCUCGAGCUUGGAGACCAUCGCGCAGUUCAAGCAUCAGAUGCAGUCCGUCUUCUCCAUGAGUGACCUCGGGCUGCUGAGCUACUACCUCGGGAUCGAGGUACACCAAGGAGACGACGCGAUCACCCUCAAGCAGGCAAGCUACGCGGCCAAGAUCAUGGAUAAGGCCGGACUUACAGGCUGCAAUCCAGUACACGUCCCGAUGGAGCCACGCCUGAAGUUGAGCAAAGAAAGCACGAGCCCCCCGGUGGACAGAAAGCUCUACCGCGGCAUCGUCGGCAGCCUCCGCUACCUGGUGCACUCGCGACCGGACAUCUCAUUUGUGGUUGGCUUUGUCAGCAGGUUCAUGGAGGCGCCCACAACAGAGCACUGGGCGGCGGUGAAGCAGCUACUGAGGUAUGUUGCAGGCACCCUGAACUAUGGGUGCAGAUACAAGAAAGGUGAGCCGAAGCCGCAGCUGGUUGGUUACAGUGAUGCGGACUUCGCCGGCGAUGUUGAUGACAGGAAGAGCACCUCAGGGACGGUGUUUGUGUUCAGCAAGAGUGUGAUCAGCUGGCAAUCCCAGAAGCAGAAGGUGAUCGCCCUCUCGUCGUGCGAAGCCGAGUACAUGGCGGCAACCACAGCCGCGUGCACAGGCGUCUGGCUCCGGCGCAUGCUUUGUGAUCUAUUGGGAGAUCCAGGAAGUGCAACACCACUUCUCAUCGACAACAAGUCAGCAAUCCAACUUUGCAAGAAUCCUGUCUUCCAUGACAGAACCAAGCACAUCGAGACGCGGUUUCACUUCAUCCGUGAGUGUGUGCAAGAUGGAAGGAUCGCCGUCGACUACAUCCACACCGGCGAGCAACUGGCUGACAUCAUGACCAAGGCUCUGCCACGGGUGAAGUUCCAGGAGCUGCGAGAGAAGUUGGGCAUGAUCGACAUCAGCAGCUGA
rnacentral:rRNA from 1 species